UGCAUUCACUACUGUAAAUCGCUCUGGAUAAGAGCGUCUGCUAAAUGACUAUAA
rfam:Salmo salar isolate Sally breed double haploid chromosome ssa12, whole genome shotgun sequence.